GACGAACGCUGGCGGCGUGCCUAAUACAUGCAAGUCGAGCGCAGGAAGUCAUCCGAACCCUUCGGGGGGACGUUGACGGAAUGAGCGGCGGACGGGUGAGUAACACGUAAAGAACCUGCCCUCAGGUCUGGGAUAACCACGAGAAAUCGGGGCUAAUACCGGAUGGGUCAUCGGACCGCAUGGUCCGAGGAUGAAAGGCGCUUCGGCGUCGCCUGGGGAUGGCUUUGCGGUGCAUUAGCUAGUUGGUGGGGUAAUGGCCCACCAAGGCGACGAUGCAUAGCCGACCUGAGAGGGUGAUCGGCCACACUGGGACUGAGACACGGCCCAGACUCCUACGGGAGGCAGCAGUAGGGAAUCUUCCACAAUGGACGAAAGUCUGAUGGAGCAACGCCGCGUGAACGAUGAAGGCCCUCGGGUCGUAAAGUUCUGUUGUAAGGGAAGAACAAGUGCCGCAGUCAAUGGCGGCACCUGACGUACCUGCGAGAAG
rnacentral:rRNA from 1 species